rnacentral:rRNA from 1 species
AUUGAACGCUGGCGGCAGGCCUAACACAUGCAAGUCGAACGAGUGGCGGACGGGUGAGUCAUGUCUGGGAAACUGACUGAUGGAGGGGGAUAACUACUGGAAACGGUAGCUAAUACCGCAUACCAUCAGAUGUGCCAAUAUGGGAUUAGCUUGUUGGUGGGGUAACGGCUCACCAAGGCGAGGAUCCCUAGCUGGUCUGAGAGGAUGACCAGACACACUGGAACGUAGACACGGUCCAUACUCCUACGGGAGGCAGCAGUGGGGAAUAUUGCACAAGGGGCGCAAGCCUGAUGCAGCCAUGCCGCGUGUAUGAAGAAGGCCUUCGGGUUGUAAAGUACUUUCAGCGUGGAGGCGUUACCCGCAGAAGAAGCACCGGCUAACUCCGUGCCAGCAGCCGCGGUAAUAC